CAAUCUUAGGUUAAUUUACCUCGCUGAGCAUCUUAAUAUUGGGAGUACUAGGAACAGGAAAGUUUCAAGGUGUUGUGUCGAACGAAAGAAGCCCUGAGGUGAAAUGUGUGGCCGUACAAGGUGAUUAUCGAUUCCCAGCGAAUAGCAGCAAAAAGCUUCUCCUCGACCCGUCUACCAAUGAAUGGCAAGGCAUGUACGCCCCGCAUACAUCUACCCAAAGAAAGAGAGGAUAUCCUCACGUUUCUACAACCAAAACAGAUCAAGCGCCUUCAUUUGAUGCAGCCAAAUAAUAUGCACUGCAGGAAAAGUAGGAGUUGGAGUAAAAUGUAACGUUAUGAAUAUCUAGUAAUGACCUAGAAAGAAAGCAUGGUAAUUUGGCUAUUCAUUUAAAUGCAGUUCAUUUUCUUGAAAAUUCUCUAUCAACUUUUUAUUUGGUUGACAUGAAAACUUCAAUAUCAUCGACAAGUUUUCCUUAUGAAAAGGAGUUAAUCCUGGUAUAUUUGGACACAUUUGGAAACCAAGAGAUUUCUACUGGAAAUACAAGAAUAUUAACUUGAAAAUGCUGAUGAUUAGCUGCUAUUUCUGAAAUCACUUUUAGUUUUUUAAUAAGAGGAAUAAUUCAAAAUUUUGGGCCUGCACUUUAAAAGAAGCUGAAUGAAACGAAGAGCAAAGCUUCGUCAACUA